CACACGCUUUGUAUAAAACUCUUUCGGACGAACAGAUAUUAAAGCCAGAUUUCUAUCCGCGCAUUGAAGAACGAAACAUUUGUAGCGUUGACGUGAAAGACCGGAACGAUUCAAGCUCCUUGAAGAAUUUAAGAGGCUCAAAUUCAAACACAGUCUUCGCGAUUUUCGCGGUCAUACGGGGAAUACUGGAGCCUGGGGCGACGGUCAAGAUUUUAUCGUUAGGUCUGGGGUUUGGAGUAUUUUCUGUUGUCAUGGUGAUUGCAGUGGCGGUUCACCUGCUGUACUAUGGAGAACAGA